GGUGUUUUACGAUGUUGUGUAAACAGAACAACUUUGAUUGUGUCCUCUGCAGCUGGUCAAUCAGUUCAAAGGAUCUUAGCACUUUAUUCUACUACUUUGUUACGACAGGACAUGUUUGAUUAAUUAUUACAGGUUACAUUGCAACAUAAUCAUAGGAUGAAACUAAUCUAUCAACCCUAACAUAUCCCUCCUGUUUAUCAUAUGAUUAUGUCACCCCGAUUAACAAACAUAAAUAAGAAAA